rnacentral:tRNA from 1 species
GGAGAGAUGGCUCAGUGGUUAAGAGCACUGACUCCUCUUCCAGAGGACCUGGGUUCAAUUCCCAGCAACUACA